UACGAAGGGGGCUAGCGUUGCUCGGAAUACUGGGCGUAAAGCGCACGUAGGCGGCUUUUAUACGUGAGGGUGAAAUCCUGGAGCUCACUCCAGAACUGCCUUUGAUACUGAGGAGCUUGAGUUCGGGAGAGGUGAGUGGAACUGCGGAGUGUAGAGGUGAAAUUCGUAGAUAUUCGCAAGAACACCAGUGGCGAAGGCGGCUUACUGGUCCGGUACUGACGCUGAGGUGCGAAAGCGUGGGGAGCAA
rnacentral:rRNA from 1 species